UUUUAUGGCAAAAAAUGCUAUCUUUGUGUAAGCAUAGGGCAGCCAGCUGCCUUCUUUCACUUUAUUUGAACAGAGUGACAUGAAACAGAAUAGUUUUAGUAUGUCUCUUCAGCUGGCAUAUAUUUCCAUAAACGGCAAUCACAAAAUUCGUCAGACACUUCACCUUGUCCCCUGGGCCCCUUCUCAGAAUGUACAGAGCAAUGAGCUCCAAGCAGUACCAGUGAAAUUAAAGUACUGUUAUGCCAAAAGGAAGCGUCAGGGAAAUCUCAGCCUUUAACUUUGAAGGGAAUGAUAUCCAGAUAAAAGGGUUUUAGUAAAAAAACUGGCAUAGUCAACCCCCUUUCCCAGAGGACAAGCUGAGGAGAGGACUUAGGAGGUACAGGGAUGAUAGGGGUGGUUCCACCAUUGGUCAUGUGGCGCCAGCAUGCCAUGUUUGCUGACAACUGAUGCCAAAUAUGCACAGAAUUGGAAUUAAUCCUGUCUGGGUGGAGUUGCACCUCAAAUGGCUAAUUGAUUUAAUUAUUUAAGUUUGAAAUGCUGCACAUACAUACUCUAACCACCGUGACCACUUUAAGUCAAGAAAUCUCAAAAACCAGAAAUGUGAAUGUGGGUUUAUUUUUUAUUUAUUUUGUUUUCUGUUUUUUGAGACCACUUUGAGGAAAAAGUGAGCCCCGUUUUUCAAAUGUGAAUUUAUGUAACAAUCUUAGAAUCUGUUCAAUCAAAGAAGAGAAAUUACACAAUAAGUGUCACCUUUACUGGUGGUGUUAGAAUUGCUCUUUACGUAAUCUUUCAGGAGCAAAUUCUUAUCCAACAGAACGGUCUCCCUGAAAUGUGUGCAUGUGCCAUGAAGCAGAGAUAGGCAAGGCAUGAUGGGAAUUGCAGGACUUCUUAGUCAGGGGCUGCCUCUGCCUACUUCAGAGCAGGAGAGAGGAUGGACUUAAUUCUACGCAGAAUUUGUGUCAGUUCUGGGAAAGUAAAUGGAUACAGUUAAAAUGUUAGGAUACUUUUUCAUUUCUUUUUACAGGCUAUCCUGUUGCGCAAUACUUAUGCAACUUGUGUAUGUUGCUUUUGCGUGUCAGUUGUUUUGUUUUUUGGGAAUCUCAUGCUAUGUACGCAAGUCUGUAAUUUACGCAGUCCCAGAGUUCAACAAUGCAGCUAUACCUUUCACAGACUUUUUACAGAAAGUCCAAUGCAAUUAGGAUAACUCUCUACCUAUAAUCUCUAAUGCACUGUUUAUCAAGGAGAGAACCACUCUGCCACUGAACAUUCCCAAGGGGGGACAUUGUUUAAAUAAAAAACCACCUCGCUGACCGUUUACAUACUUCAUGUUAAUGAUUCGAGGGCCUAUUUCCAAGUAGAUUGUACGAAAAAUACAGUACACAUCUAUUGUUCCUGCAUUUCUACAGUAACAGACCUUAAGAGCCACUUGUCUUUGGUGUCACCUUAUAAACAAUGUCAAUCCAUUAUUCUAGGAAUAUUGCUAGCACGUGUAAAGCUUUUAGAUGAGAUUUAAUCUAUUCAUCGAUAUAAUGUUUAAACUACCAAUUUCUGCCCCAAAUUAAUGCACGUGCAUUAGUUUCCGCCCACAUUUAGGAAACCCCACUAGUCAUUUGGGACAGACGCACGGCUGCAAAGCCCAGUGUGUUUUCUUGAAUACACACCACAACUGCUACAUGUGAAUGGGUCCUCUAGUUUAUGGCAUUCAUGUGCUGCAGUAUGGUUUCUAGACAGUUAUUGUAGAAUUCCUUGUUUAGUUAAUAUAUUUCCAUCCCGCAGUACAUGAAUGCUUGGCAGUGCUCUUCAUAUCAAAAUGAAGUAAAGUGUUUAAUGGAUCGCGAUAUCUGGUACCAGCUGAGACAAAUCUCAAAUUAGUGAAUACAUUUACUGGUGAUUAUUUGAGUAGGUAUAGACGUUUGACCUAUACAUCCUUCUAGAAAGAUACAAUAAUAAUGGAAUGUGCGGAAUCUGUGUUUUGUGUUUAACAAGCCUACAAAGCAUGUUUUGUAUUUUGUGUGUUUGGAAGCAGAGGGGAGGCUCAUUCCUUUCUCAAUUUCCUGUUACUGUGUAACUCAAUUUUUACAAAUAAUGUCUAUACGCAGGGUUUAACCACUUCCCUCCCAUUGACAUGUGAAAUUUAACAUGUGCCAUUUAUUAAGUUUGUACAAAGCAUCUAAUUUGUUGGACUUUUCUUUUUAUAUAAUUUUGUUUGUCAUUCUGUAAUAUGCUUAUUUUUGUUAACUUUUAAUGUCCACUUGCAUUAAAAAAAAUUCCAGGAUUUUUUUUUUUCUAUAAUACUUG
rnacentral:lncRNA from 1 species